UAGAUAAGUNUGAAGUUAAAGGCUGUGGCUUAACCAUAGUACGCUUUGGAAACUGUUUAACUUGAGUGCAGAAGGGGAGAGUGGAAUUCCAUGUGUAGCGGUGAAAUGCGUAGAUAUAUGGAGGANCACCGGUGGCGAAAGCGGCUCUCUGGUCUGUAACUGACGCUGAGGCUCGAAAGCGUGGGGAGCGAACAGGAUUAGAUACCCUGGUAGUNCACGCCGUAAACGAUGAGUGCUAGGUGUUAGGCCCUNUCCGGGGCUUAGUGCCGCAGCUAACGCAUUAAGCACUCCGCCUGGGGAGUACGACCGCAAGGUUGAAACUCAAAGGAAUUGACGGGGGCCCGCACAAGCGGUGGAGCAUGUGGUUUAAUUCGAAGCAACGCGAAGAACCUUACCAGGUCUUGACAUCCCGAUGCCCGCUCUAGAGAUAGAGUUUUACUUCGGUGCAUCGGUGACAGGUGGUGCAUGGUUGUCGUCAGCUCGUGUCGUGAGAUGUUGGGUUAAGUCCCGCAACGAGCGCAACCCUUAUUGUUAGUUGUCAUCAUUCAGUUGGGCACUCUAGCGAGACUGCCGGUAAUAAACCGGAGGAAGGUGGGGAUGACGUCAAAUCAUCAUGCCCCUUAUGACCUGGGCUACACACGUGCUACAAUGGCUGGUACAACGAGUCGCAAGUCGGUGACGGCAAGCUAAUCUCUUAAAGCCAGUCUCAGUUCGGAUUGUAGGCUGCAACUCGCCUACAUGAAGUCGGAAUCGCUAGUAAUCGCGGAUCAGCACGCCGCGGUGAAUACGUUCCCGGGCCUUGUACACACCGCCCGUCACACCACGAGAGUUUGUAACACCCGAAGUCGGUGAGGUANCCUUUUAGGA
rnacentral:rRNA from 1 species